AAAUUGAAGAGUUUGAUCAUGGCUCAGAUUGAACGCUGGCGGCAGGCCUAACACAUGCAAGUCGAACGGUAACAGGAAGCAGCUUGCUGCUUUGCUGACGAGUGGCGGACGGGUGAGUAAUGUCUGGGAAACUGCCUGAUGGAGGGGGAUAACUACUGGAAACGGUAGCUAAUACCGCAUAACGUCGCAAGACCAAAGAGGGGGACCUUCGGGCCUCUUGCCAUCGGAUGUGCCCAGAUGGGAUUAGCUAGUAGGUGGGGUAACGGCUCACCUAGGCGACGAUCCCUAGCUGGUCUGAGAGGAUGACCAGCCACACUGGAACUGAGACACGGU
rnacentral:rRNA from 1 species